rnacentral:rRNA from 1 species
AUUGAACGCUGGCGGCGUGCCUUACACAUGCAAGUCGAACGGUAACAGGUCUUUCGGGAUGCUGACGAGUGGCGAACGGGUGAGUAAUACAUCGGAACGUGCCUAGUAGUGGGGGAUAACUACUCGAAAGAGUGGCUAAUACCGCAUGAGAUCUAUGGAUGAAAGCAGGGGACCUUCGGGCCUUGUGCUACUAGAGCGGCCGAUGGCAGAUUAGGUAGUUGGUGGGAUAAAAGCUUACCAAGCCUACGAUCUGUAGCUGGUCUGAGAGGACGAUCAGCCACACUGGGACUGAGACACGGCCCAGACUCCUACGGGAGGCAGCAGUGGGGAAUUUUGGACAAUGGGCGCAAGCCUGAUCCAGCAAUGCCGCGUGCAGGAUGAAGGCCUUCGGGUUGUAAACUGCUUUUGUACGGAACGAAAAGCCUUGGGUUAAUACCCUGGGGUCAUGACGGUACCGUAAGAAUAAGCACCGGCUAACUACGUGCCAGCCGCCGCCGUAAAAC